rnacentral:rRNA from 1 species
UACGUAGGGAGCAAGCGUUGUCGGGAAUCAUUGGGCGUAAAGCGCGCGUAGGUGGCUUCGUAAGUCCGUUGUGAAAGUCAAAGGCUCAACCUUUGAAAGCCGAUGGAUACUGUGAAGCUAGAGUACGGAAGAGGCGAGUGGAAUUCCUGGUGUAGCGGUGGAAUGCGCAGAUAUCAGGAGGAACACCAAUAGCGAAGGCAGCUCGCUGGGACGUUACUGACACUGAGGCGCGAAAGCGUGGGGAGCGAACAGG